GUUCAAGUGUGACAUUUAGCGUCAUGCUAUUCUGCAGCAGAUGUCACUUUGUUUUGCUGUUACAGCUGCUGACAGUCAUAGCAGGCUCUUUUCCUUCAGUAAAGGUGAAUCUUCAUGAUGCUGC